UAAAGCGUCGUAGCUGGCGCGCAAGUCCAUCGGGAAAUCCACCCGCCCAACGGGUGGCCGUCCGGUGGAAACUGCACGGCUUGGGACCGGAAGGCGCGACGGGUACGUCCGGGGUAGGAGUGAAAUCCCGUAAUCCUGGACGGACCGCCGAUGGCGAAAGCACGUCGCGAGAACGGAUCCGACAGUGAGGGACGAAAGCCAGGGUCUCGAACC
rnacentral:rRNA from 1 species